CUUUUUCAUAAUCGAGAUAUCUCGAUUAUAUAUCUCGAUUAUGCCCAUCACUACCCACAAUAUUUUAUUUGCGCUCUACACUCAAAGGCGAGCGGUUCUACGUCCUUCGAUUUUCCUGCCGGUGCUCCGACAACAAAUAUGGCGGACGAAAUUGUCACCCAAAAGCCGAAAAACGUAUCCGCCAAGCCACCAUCUGGUGCAGGUAUAGGCCGCCGGCCUCGGAGCUUUUGCUCUGCAACGUCCGGCAGCUGACCGACUGACUUGAUUUUCGUCACUUUUAUGAAAUUUCAAAUGGUAAUGAAACCACUGAAAAUAAUAUCAAAACCUUCAAUAGUGAUUCGAAAUCAAUAAUGUUGAAUAUUUGACCAUAUAAAAUAUUGAAAUAUUGUCUGACAAUACUUGCACCUCAAGGUGAAAUUUGAUUAUGUUAUAUGUGUAUACAAUCUAUAGUAUGGCCAUGUUGUAAGUAAGGAUUUUAUGCCUAACUCAAGUAAGGAUAGAGGAGUGGGGUUUCAUUACACAAUUAUUUGACCAAUUGGAUUGGUAUAUAGUAUUGUGAAUCCAACAUCACGUCAUUAUUAUUAUUCAACCGUCAUUACACACAGGUUGGAAAACUUUCUCCACAGUUAAACCCUGAGUUAGGUUGUUAAUUCUAGGGUUUAUUAGAAGGUUGUUGCUUAUUCAUCGCUAUAAUUAUUAGCCAUGACCAGUGUUGAAGAUUAUACUACUUCAACGCUUAACUAUUUAUAUAUUGACUAAAUCUUCGCGUGUCAACAAUUUCUAAGAUUUUCCAAACCUCAUAUAUUAGAAGUUGGAGUUAAUAUAUCUAAUGGAUGGUCCUUAAGAUGAAGUGUUUAAAAUUGGAAAUGUGUUUAAACGUUUAGACACGACUGGAUAUUUUUGUAUCUAUUACUUUGUGUUAGCAAAGAGGUUGGUGGAGUGACUGGUGAUCAAUCCCUAAUCAACCCCAUCUAAGUUGCUGUAGACUCAAACAUGAAGUUGACUAGUGAAAAACAAAUUAUACUACAUACAAAUUAUUUUGGCUCUUUAGUCUAGAGCCCUAUGGGCUUGAAGUUGUCAAUUUUUUUUUAUAUAACAAUUUAUUUUCAACACAAAUUUUAAUCUGUUUGCAUAGUGUUUAUUUAACAUGAGUGUCUUUGGUUUCUUUUCAAACCCAAAAAUGUAUUUAUUUUGAAAAUAAUAGAAAAUAAUUUGUAAACUAACAUAACUUAAAAGUAAUCAAUAAAAACCCAACUAUUUGACUUUAUAAUACUAUCUUAUGUAUCAAUAUAUCUAUAAUGUUGUCUAAAGGAAUAAUUAAUAUGAUACCUUAGUUCUGUUAUCUACCUGUCUUCAAUUCUAUAAUAAUAACAUAUACCAUGAUGUAUUUUGUUGAAAUAGAUUUAUUAAUAGAAGUUAAAAAUUAUUGAUAUCAGGAGUUGUAUUGUAAACUUUGUAUUUUAUAUACAUCUGUUAAUACAUCUUUAUUUUUUUUUUACAUAAACAUGACCAAUUGUUAUAUAUAUAAGUAUUAAGUAUAAAUUAAUUAUAGGUUGAACAUAUUUUAAUAUUUUUUGAACACUAGGGUAACAAACAAACGGUUGUCUGUAUUUUUUUAUCAUUAAAUGUUUCUUAUUCAAAA